rnacentral:rRNA from 1 species
CCUACGGGAGGCAGCAGUAGGGAAUAUUGCUCAAUGGGGGAAACCCUGAAGCAGCAACGCCGCGUGGAGGAAGAAGGUUUUCGGAUCGUAAACUCCUUUUGUUAGAGAAGAUAAUGACGGUACCUGACGAAUAAGCACCGGCUAACUCCGUGCCAGCAGCCGCGGUAAUACGGAGGGUGCAAGCGUUAUCCGGAUUUACUGGGCGUAAAGAGAGCGUAGGCGGGAGAGCAAGUCAGAUGUGAAAGCCUGUGGCUAAACCCUGGGACUGCAUUUGAAACUGUAAAUCUGGAGUGUGGGAGGGGUAGGUGGAAUUCUUGGUGUAGGGGUGAAAUGCGUAGAGAUCAGGAGGAAUAC